UACGAAGGGGGCUAGCGUUGUUCGGAAUCACUGGGCGUAAAGGGCGCGUAGGCGGCCGAUCAAGUCGGGGGUGAAAGCCUGUGGCUCAACCGCAGAAUUGCCUUCGAUACUGUUUGGCUUGAGACCGGAAGAGGUUAGUGGAACUGCGAGUGUAGAGGUGAAAUUCGUAGAUAUUCGCAAGAACACCAGUGGCGAAGGCGGCUGACUGGUCCGGUUCUGACGCUGAGGCGCGAAAGCGUGGGGAGCAAACAGG
rnacentral:rRNA from 1 species